GAAAUGCGAUAAGUAGUGUGAAUUGCAGAAUUCAGUGAAUCAUCGAAUCUUUGAACGCACAUUGCGCCCUUUGGUAUUCCUUAGGGCAUGCCUGUUCGAGCAUCAUUUAAACCUCCAAGCCCUGCUUGGUGUUGGGUGCCUGUCCCGCCCCCGCGCGUGGACUCACCUCAAAUCCAUUGGCGGCCCCCGCAUGGCCACGAGCGCAGCAGAAACGCAAACUCGUGUGCCGGACCGGGCGGCUCCCAGAAGCUACACUCACCAUUUUUGACCUCGGAUCAGGUAGGGAUACCCGCUGAACUUAAGC
rnacentral:misc_RNA from 1 species